UCGAGCUCUCCCUGUGAGUGUGGUGCCUUCAUGAUUUGCAGGGAUUGUUACUUGGAGUGCAUUGCCAGUGGAGGUCAAUGUCCAGGUUGUAAGGAGACUUUUACAGAGGUGUGAGGGAUGAUAAAGAGUCGCCGGAGGAGGAGGAGAACAAGGCGCUGCCGUUAACAUCCAUGGCUGAGUUCAGAGCGGGGAGAAGAAUGUCACUGAUGAGGUCCACCAAGGCACCACCUGAUUUUGAUCAUAACCGGUAGCUCUUUGAGACGAAGGGAACGGAACAUAUGGUGCAGGUGCAGAAGAGUGGCAGAAUUCUAACUGAUUAUUGGGCAUGAUCUCCUCAAAGCAGUCAAGCUUUUUAAGGUACGAUGUUCAAUGGGCAACUCAAAUUGCUCAUUUCUCAUGUUAGGAAUGAGUGUCAUGUUGCUUUUGAUUUUGAAAAAGGUAAAUCAUGAAAUGAUUACAGUUAGUAGUUUGUCCAAGAUAGUCAUCUGUUUGGCUUCCUUCACUGCUUCAGAGCCUCACAAUGGGAGCAACUUCUUGUGAGGUUUAAACACAGUGAUAAAUUGAAUGUAUUGUUGCGGUUGCACUGGGAUUCAGGUGUGAAAACCACCGGAAUGGCCUGUUUGAGCUCUAGUGGCGGAUCAUUUGGUCAAAGUGCACCGCAUAUAAACAACCAUCUGCAUAUAUACAGCAUCAAUCCACCAUAAAUUCAUUGUGUCCACAGAAGCUCGCAUCCUUCGUUUACAACAAAAUCGAAUUUUUAUUGAUUCGCAAUGUCGCAGUUUAUUCACAAUUAUUUUACAAGGAUGCCAUAUUUGCCUCAUUAUAUCACUUAAGUUACAAACUUGGUGUGUAUUUCAUUAUUCCAUAAUCAUUGGAUACAUGUUGUGCGGCAAUAUAUUUUAAGUUUAAUAAUUGAUACAUGUCUUUAUUGCUGUAUGGUUGGUAUUUAUCCACCCGCCAACUCUUAUCAUCUCAUGAAAUUAAGGCAUAAAUUGUUUGAUUGAUAAAUAAAAAAAUGAAGAUGAUGUAUGUACCUAUUGUCAACAAGGAAAUCUUUGACUAACAUUGUUGUUUCUUGUGCUAUGUUUCAUCACCCUUGUUAUCGAAAUCAUAACGUUCAUGUAUGUGGACAUCCAUGCAUGCAUUUUAUGCAUAAGAAAGGCACUGUGUUUAUGUAUCUCUGCAUACCUCCUAUGACAGACAGCAGGUUUAUAGUGCGGCGGCAGCAGAGAAUUGAUUGGUGCUCGAGACAAAUGGAUUGCAGACAAUGGCCAUCUGAUUUCUCGCCUCAUCAUGAAGCUUCUUUAAUGGCAGCUCUUUGAAUGCUGUAAUGUCACUGUUUUGACGCAUGGGGAUAUAAUUACCAAAGUUGAUCCCGAGGCAGAAGGAUAUAAAAGGGAAAGUCGAAGAAGAGAAAAGAAGGCCAGGUUCUGGUUUCUCUUAGAGCUCCUGUGAGCAUCUCCGGUGACUGGUUCGGGAGGGAAGAUAUUCCGAGUAUUUUACUGCAUUUAUUAGCUAUUUUCACUGGAUCUAUUACCUUACGAGUUUUGCUCAUUUGAUGCUUAUAUGUGAAUUUACUGUUGAAUUGGCUGCUGAAUUCUUAAUGAAACUGUGAGAUAUUUGACUGGAGUGUGGAUCCGUUGUUUUGCUUGUGAGCCAUUUGUGAUUAGUGAGUCUGUUGAGCAGUCAC